GGAAGUUGGUCUUCACACGUGACUGACUGAACUAAGGUAGAGUUGUCACACUCCACUUCCAUGAAGACUUCUCUCCCCAUGUUCUCUCUUCUCCAUUCUUUCAUAAAGCGCACACCUUCAAGCAAUGCCAGGGCUUCCGCUUGAAGAGGCGAUUGAGCCCGAAUCAGAAAAGCAAAUCCUCCCGUGAGCUUCCCUGAGGCAUCACGGCACACACCAGCCACCGCACACGACGUAGAGCCAGCAACGAAGGCCGCGUCCACAUUAAGCUUAAGAGCUCCUUUCUCCGGCGGCGUCCAGAUCACAGGAACCAGAGUACUUUGGAAACGAGCUCGAGAGACGGCGAGGCUGGUAAUGCGCCACAAGAGCCAUUUCAUUGAUCACAUUUUCACUGUCUUGCAAACUAUAAGGGCACUUAUGCAAUUUCAUGCAUCUGAAAAUAGAAAUGUGUGUACUAGUUUCUAUUCUUCUUCUACAGCACAACAUCCACAAUUUUUUGUCACUUCUCUAGAUUGUUAGGAUCUAGACAAGAAUUUGAACUCGACUUUAGUGAUUAUGGAUGUGUAAUCCACAUGUAAUAUUAUAUAUUGGGUCCAAGAUAAUCUCUUAGUAAAAAUCACGUAAAAAAAAAACAAUUCAAUGUAGGACCAUCAAGAACCCUUUGAGAAGUAUCUGAUAACUUAAGCAGAACGGAAUUGAGAUUCCAUCUACAAAAUUUUAUCAAGUUUGAGAAAUAAUUAGAAGUUUAUGAAACGAGUUUGGAAUGAUAUCAGCUACUAUGAUUAGGCUCACAAACAUAA